rnacentral:rRNA from 1 species
UACGUAGGGUGCGAGCGUUGUCCGGAAUUAUUGGGCGUAAAGAGCUCGUAGGCGGUUUGUCGCGUCGACUGUGAAAACCUACAGCUUAACUGUGGGCUUGCAGUCGAUACGGGCAGACUUGAGUUCGGUAGGGGAGACUGGAAUUCCUGGUGUAGCGGUGAAAUGCGCAGAUAUCAGGAGGAACACCGAUGGCGAAGGCAGGUCUCUGGGCUGUAACUGACGCUGAGGAGCGAAAGCAUGGGGAGCGAACAGG